rnacentral:misc_RNA from 1 species
AUGCUUUCUGAACUGAUUACAUUUGAAUUUUUUUCUUCUUGGAUUUUCAUUUCUCUUAAUUAUGCUUCUUCUCUCCAUGGUUCUUUUGUGUUCUAAAUCAGUAUGUCAUACAAUUUAUUAUCUGAAUGACAAUGACCAAAAAUUAGUCAUAACUGAGAAUUAGAUAACCAGAUUUUAAUCUAUUGGGCUAGUAGCCUAGUUGUUGAGUGCUUGCCUUGCAAUGCAGAAGGUCACGGUUAAAU